rnacentral:rRNA from 1 species
GAUGAACGCUGGCGGCGUGCUUAACACAUGCAAGUCGAACGGUGAAGCAGAGCUUGCUCUGUGGAUCAGUGGCGAACGGGUGAGUAACACGUGAGCAACCUGCCCCUGACUCUGGGAUAAGCGCUGGAAACGGCGUCUAAUACUGGAUAUGAGCUGCGACCGCAUGGUCAGCAGUUGGAAAGAUUUUUCGGUCUGGGAUGGGCUCACGGCCUAUCAGCUUGUUGGUGAGGUAAUGGCUCACCAAGGCGUCGACGGGUAGCCGGCCUGAGAGGGUGACCGGCCACACUGGGACUGAGACACGGCCCAGACUCCUACGGGAGGCAGCAGUGGGGAAUAUUGCACAAUGGGCGAAAGCCUGAUGCAGCAACGCCGCGUGAGGGAUGACGGCCUUCGGGUUGUAAACCUCUUUUAGCAGGGAAGAGGCGAAAGUGACGGUACCUGCAGAUAAAGCGCCGGCUAACUACGUG